AUGACGGCGGCCAUAAGCCAGUAAUAUAUGCUCAGAUGUGGGUGAGAACUGGAUUGAAGUCAAACAAUGAGCAGCUCUAAUUGCUCGUGAUACAAGAACUGAACCAAAGGUUGCCUCCUCCAGGGAAUAUAUGCGAAGCUCAUACAUAACUUGCUGUGCAGAGAUUGGGUGUCUAGUAGGCGAAGUUGCAGCCCCAGUAUCUUGUUGAAC
rnacentral:misc_RNA from 1 species